ACGAACGCUGGCGGCGUGCUUAACACAUGCAAGUCGAACGGAAAGGCCCUGCUUUUGUGGGGUGCUCGAGUGGCGAACGGGUGAGUAACACGUGAGUAACCUGCCCUUGACUUUGGGAUAACUUCAGGAAACUGGGGCUAAUACCGGAUAGGAGCUCCUGCUGCAUGGUGGGGGUUGGAAAGUUUCGGCGGUUGGGGAUGGACUCGCGGCUUAUCAGCUUGUUGGUGGGGUAGUGGCUUACCAAGGCUUUGACGGGUAGCCGGCCUGAGAGGGUGACCGGCCACAUUGGGACUGAGAUACGGCCCAGACUCCUACGGGAGGCAGCAGUGGGGAAUAUUGCACAAUGGGCGGAAGCCUGAUGCAGCAACGCCGCGUGCGGGAUGACGGCCUUCGGGUUGUAAACCGCUUUCGCCUGUGACGAAGCGUGAGUGACGGUAAUGGGUAAAAAAGCACCGGCUAACUACGUG
rnacentral:rRNA from 1 species